CAUAUUCACAGGUCUCGGGAACCAGGAUGGGGACACUUUGUGGGAGGGCAUUACUCAGCCUCUUCCACCGUGCUGGCCCUCUGACUUCCGCCUGCUCCUUGACAUCCACUUUAUUCCCAUCUCAGAGCCUUUCCCUUCUCACUCUUGCAGCUUAGAAUGUCCUUCCCAGUCGCUGCGUGAUUGACGCACAAACACCACUUCUCAGGAAAACCCUUUUCUGAACAUUUCAAAAAAAGGCUCUCCUGCCAUCGCACGUUCUUAUCCCAUCAUCUUUUUGCUUUUCCUGAAAAUAAACAAUUCACUAUUAGAGGGGAACGUUUCCUGCUCACUCCUCUGAUUUCCAGUGGGACAGCGUUUUCCUCAAGGCUCUUGCUUCACAGCUUUUUCCCCUUUACAAAUGGAAAGCGAAUCGACUGGGAAUGAGCUUGAGGAGGGAGGAGGCCCCUCUGCAGCCUUCCCUUUCAGGAUCUGUUUGCCUGGAGACAGCGCAGGUGCUGGAAGACAGUGAGUCUGUGCUGUGUUCUCCUCCAUUACAUCUCAGAUAGUGGGGCUGGCUGGAAGACAGUGAGUUUGGGGUCCCGGCCUCCUCCAUUGCAUCCCAGAGGGUGGGCCAGCUGAAAGAGUGUAAGACUGGUGGGAACCCAACGACCCAGGACAACAGCUCAGCACACAGAGGCACAUGCACCCCUGGAAGGCGAAGUAAUCAGCAAGACCAGUAAUGUGGAAGCAUCUGAAGCAGCAGUAAGGAGACAGCAGGUGCACCCUGGAGAACUCCCCUGACAGAAGACCAGUCCCAGCCCAUACAUCCAGAGGCCAAGGUCGGCGUCACACCCAGUGCAUCUCUGGGAUGCCACAUGGACAUGAUGACAGCACUGUAGCCACCAGAAGGUAGUUCUUGGAAUAGCUGUAAAGAACCAAAUACAUCUGGAGGACAUCCCUGAAGAAAGGACAUCUCCUUUCCUUCUUGAGAAAGACCUCAAUGCUAGUGGUAGAGAUAAAUGUCAUGGGAGGUUGGUGGGCCUCAGCACAGAAGAUAAAAUAAAAGAAAAAAGAGAAGGUGGAGAAUGGCAAGAUGCAGGGGUGGGACACAGCCCUCAGACCCCCAGCCCAUCCAGCACAGGCCUGGACCUCAGUGAGACGGAUGAAGUUAGAAGUCACACAUCAAAAGAUGGAAGUUUCUGAAAUGAUAACAACAGAAGGGAGAAAACAAACAGAAAAGGCUAUAGAAGGAAAAUGAUCUCUCGGGUACAAAAAGAAAUGAUGCUUAAAAUCAGAGAUAUUAGAGAAGAUAUAAAUAAAAGAACAGAUGAGCUUAGAAAAGGUCGCCAUAGGAGAGAAGUGGAAUCCAUGAAACAAAUAUGAAAAGAGAUCCAGGAGAUUAAAACCUUCAUUGAAAGUAUACACAACAGAUUGAAUGAAGGAAAAGAUAGAAUUUCAGAUCUUGACAGAACUGUAGUUAGUGAUGAUAAGAAAGAUAUCUUAAAAAUAGCAAGAGGCCAUGAGAAAUCAAUCCAACAGCUACAAAACAAAGCAAAGAAGAAUAACAUAAGGUUGAUUAGGGUCAGUGAGAAAACUAGAGAACAUACAUGCCUAGACAAUCAUAAAUAUAUAUGUACCUAAUAUUAGAGCACCCGACUAUUUGAUAGUUAUUGGAAGACUUGGAAAAUCAAAUGAGUAAUAACACAGUUGUAACAGGAAACCUCAAUACCCUAUGGUCCCAGACACACACAUUAACUAGAGAGAAAAUCAACAAAGAAGUAUCAGAACCAAACCAAAUUGUGAACAAAUGGCCUUAUUAGGAAGAAGGCAGGCCCCGAGGCCCCUCGCCAGUGGCCAGGAAAGAGUUAGUGAGCCCAGGGGGCUCAGAGAAGAAACCACACCCCGAGGCCAAGUGCCAGUGGCUUAGAGAGAUCCAGAGAGCCCAGAGCUGGCCUGGAGAAGAAGCCUCAUUCAGCUCCCUGCACUGAGGGACUGGCAGCAAAUGCGGUAAGCACCUGGGAUGUAGCCAUGGACUGGCUCAGAAAAACACAGGAAAACGUCAAGACGAAGGAGCAAAAUAUAAUCUCAGAUCUCCAGUCCACCCAGAACAAGUUCAGGAGACACAUAGUCGAAAUUAGAGGUGAAAACCUGAAAUUUCUUGUACUAAUUGGUUAAUUUAAUUUAAUUUUAUUUUUUAUUGGUACCGGGGAUCGAACUCACGACUGCCUGCUUGCAAGGCAGGUGCUUAUGCCACUGAGCUAAAUCCCCAGCCCUAAUUGGUUAAUUUUAUAUGCCUAUGUCUGAUGGUCUGGACAGCUAUUUUGAAGAUAGCAAGAGGCAUUGUGGUAGUCAUUGUUAAUUUCUCAUUAUCUUGUUUUGAAGUCCUAUAUUGUUUUCACUGUUUAGUUUAAUUCUGUUUUAUUUUGUUUGGUUUAGUUCUCUUUAUAAUAAAAUAAAAAAAUUUUAGUUCAAGAAAAAAA